rnacentral:rRNA from 1 species
GUGAGGAAUAUUGCGCAAUGGAGGCAACUCUGACGCAGCCAUGCCGCGUGCAGGAAGAAGGCGCUACGCGUUGUAAACUGCUUUUAUCCGGGAAGAAACCCCAGGACGUGUCCUGGGUUGACGGUACCGGAGGAAUAAGCACCGGCUAACUUCGUGCCAGCAGCCGCGGUAAUACGAAGGGUGCAAGCGUUAUCCGGAUUCAUUGGGUUUAAAGGGUGCGUAGGCGGAGCGUUAAGUCAGUGGUGAAAUCCUGCAGCUUAACUGUAGACUUGCCAUUGAUACUGGCGCUCUUGAGUGCGCUUGAAGUGGGCGGAAUGUGCCGUGUAGCGGUGAAAUGCUUAGAUAUGGCACAGAACACCAAUUGCGAAGGCAGCUCACUAAGGCGAUACUGACGCUGAGGCACGAAAGCGUGGGGAUCGAACAGGAUUAGAAACCCUAGUAGUCC